UCACUUGGAUCCCCUUUGGGACCCGCCCCUCGAUCCCCCCGGAUUCCUCCUUGGGGCACUCCACGUGCGCGAACUGCGGGACCUCCGGCCAGGGCUGUGCUGAACUCCUUGUCCCUGUGGUUAAACUCGGCCUUAAGCCCGCUGGUUUGGGGCCAAAGCGGGGGAAGCGCCGGGAUCAGCGGAUCUCGCGGGGGCGGGGGGCGAUCUCCCUGUGCCAGUGCCCUCCCCGGACAGCCCCCCAAUGCCCCCCGCAGACCCUCCUCAUCCCUCCUGGAUACUGCGACCGGGGCGUUCCAGAGCUUCCCAGGGACAGCUCCGGUGUGUCCCGCCCGAACUCCUCCCAGGGAAGCUCCUGGGUCGUUCCUUGGGAGACACCGGGGGGAGAAAAGCUCCAGCUUUUGCUGCGUGUGCGGGUCCCCACCCCUGCGGAGCAGGACUGGUGGCUGUGACUCCGAUCCUCCUUCUCUCUCAUUCUCGAUCCUCUUUCUCUCUCUUUCUCAUCUUGUCUCCCUUUCCUCGGGGUGAUUAUAAAUCCCAGGGCACCUGUAGAUCCCCUUUCCCAGUCACGGGUUUCCCAGGGAAGUGAGUGCAGGGGGGUCCCAGUGCCCAGGAACGGGGAUUCAAGGGAGUCCCAGAGUCAAGGAAAUGGGGAGCUCCUCCAAAACUCCCUCCCGGGGGGGAGCAGGAGCUGGGGCAGGAGCGCUGUGGGGAGAGGGAAGGGAGUGACAUUGGAAUGGGGGGGUCACCAAGGGGGACACACAUGCUUCGGAGGGGACAUGACCCCAGGGACCCCCCUCACCUUCUCCCGCAGGAGGAGGCCAGGCCCCAGCCCAGGAUGACGAACCCCAACAUGGCCCUCCCAACCCCUGUCAGCAUCUUUGGGGGGCAGCGUCUGUCGGCAGCUCUGGGGGCAGGAUCCGGGAAUGGUGGCAGAUCCCCGGAAGGGAUGGGGAGGGAGUGGGACAGGCUGGGAUGGCCUGGGAUGGACUGGGACACCAGGACACAUGGAGACCAGGACUGGGACCUACCAGGACCUGCUGGGAGCAGGAUCAGAGCACACUGGGACCCACUGGGACCAGAACUGCGGCAACAGGGAUCAUACAGGAAUCAUACUGGGACCAAAAUGAGGGCUACUGGGAGUAACUGGGAGCAUGCUGGAGGCCAUAUGGGAUAUACUGGGAGUGUCUGGGAGUCAGUGGGAUCAUACUGGUGGAAACUGAAUCCUUCCUGGGGUAACUGGGAGUGACUGGGAAUGACUACAACCAUGCUGAGGGCAACUGGGGUACACUGGGAUUGUCUGUAACCAUGGUGGGGAUGACUGAGACCACUCUGGGGGCAACUGGGACCAUGCAGGCAGCAACUGAGAGCAACUGUGAGCGACUGGAUCUACAGUGGGGCAACUGGGAUUCACUGGGACCAUGCUGGGGGAAGACUGGGACCAUACUUGGAUUGGCUGGGAUGAUACUGGGAUCAGACUGGGAUCACAGUGGGAGCAACUUGGCCCAUGCUGAGGGCAACUGGGAUCAUAUUGGGAGCAACUGGGAGCAUACUGAGGGUAACUGGGGUCAUACUGGGAGUGACUAGGAGCAUGUUGGGGGCAGCUGGGACAGGGAAUGGCCCUGGGACAUGGAACAGUUCAGGGAUAGGUAAUGGCCCUGGGAUAUGGAAUGGCCCCAGGACAUGGAACAGCUGAGGAACAUGGAAUGGCUGGUUCCUGCCCUGGAUCCCACGGCCAGGAACGCUCGUUUUCCCCCUUGUAGGCAGCGAGGGGUGCUGGAGGGUCCCUGUGAGGGUCCCCCCUGCCCCCAAGUCACUCCUGGCACCGCUCUGGGGCUCUGUCACCGAUCGGUUGCUGCCCUGGGGCAGAGGGUUUGUUGCAGAGUUCGGGAUUAAACCCAACAAACUCGGGCGGGGGGGCAGCCCUGGACACCAGGGCUUUGCUGCCACGGCUCUGCAGGGGCUUCCCACGGGGUCACGGCCUCCUUUGGGCAGCCCCCGCUCCGGCGUGGGCUCCUCCCCGGGCUGCAGGGGGGACUCUGCUCCAUCCCGAACUCAUCCACAGGUCACAGGCCCUUCAGCUCAGGUUCUCACGGAGCUCCAGCCGGUUCAGUGCAGCGGCGCUGCCCCGGUGUCCCGCCAGGCCGGGCACCUCGCCAGGGCUGUGACUCCUAAAGCAGCGGCUCCGGGCACCUCGCCAGGGCUGUGACUCCUGAAACAGCGGCUCCGGGCACAUCGCCGGGGCUGUUUCUCGUAAAGCGCGUGGCUUUGAGGAAAGGGAGGUGCUGCCGCAGCGUCAGCGGGAGCAGGGACAGGGCAGGACUGAGCUGGCAUCGCCCUCCUGAGCCCGGGUGUCCCACAGGGCCGGGUCCAGCUGUGCUCUCUCUUCACGGCCCAUUCCAUCUGCCCUGACAGUGGGGGUAAACUGCAGCCAAGGCUGAGCUGAACGAGGCUUUGUCACCACUUCUGAUGCCUUGGGCACAAGAUCUGGUGUGUCGUGGGCAGGGAGAUGGCACUUGUUACCCUGUAGUGAGUCAAGGGGAGGAGAGUGAAUUCUGCUCCGUUGAUGGGAUUGCAGAGGAUCCCUUGGGUUCCCAGGCCGGAUGGACCAGGGUGGUGGUUGUGGGCCAGACUGGGGGAGUGGGGGCUGGGCUGGACCAGGACGAAGCAAGUUUGGAUUUGAGCUUAGUUCUCUCUUCCCAAGAUUGCUGUGCCAUAUCCAGAGAGAAUUUGUGAGGGGGAAGGAGGAUGUGAGCCUAAGAGGAGAAAUAAUAAGCAGCUUCCUCUCCACAUCCCACUCUGUCUCCCCCGGGCCUUCCCCUCCAUCCCAGCCUGUGGGUCCCACUUUGGGGUCCAAUGACCCCCCCGCAGGUGUCUCCUUGCAGGGACACCUCAGGUCAGGGCUGAAUUACUCUUUUAUUUUCAGAUAAAAAGUAGAAAUUCCUGUUGACUGGUUGGAUUCCCUCUCUUUUGGUCACUACAGAAAAGACCCUUUGAAUAAUUCCCACGUGCACUUGUGGAUUCAUUUCCCUUCCCUGGGCAGCCAAAAAAAAAAAAGGCCACAACUCUAGUGGCAUGUAAUAGUUUUGAACUGCUCUUUAGGACACAAAAGUCCUUUUUUCCCCCAAACCCUGUGCCUUUGGGAGUAUUUUCCAUGGUAGGAUCCUCUGUUAUUCCCCAGCGGAUCUGUUUUCUCCUCAUUUUCCAACUCCACCUGUUUUUCACUCCAAAAUGCCCUAAACUGUAGCCUGGGUGUCAGAGACUGAAAUGGUUAAUUAUUUAUGUAUUCUAGGAGACUUUUGCAGGCUUUUGACUUGCAUGAUACCUCUGAUGAGCAAUUAGGCCCCUCCCUCCCUCCAUUGCUGAGGGUGUGAAGCCCUGAAAAGGCAAGAGCUGAGCUUUCAGGCUUUUGACUGUUGAUACAUCUGCUGAGCAAUCAGGCCCCUCCCUCCCUCUGCUAAUCUUGAAAGGCGGGAACCAGGCGAGACACAAAAAACUCAGCACACAGACCUAGGAGAUGUUGGAGGCUCAAGGCACGGCCCGUGACACUAACCAUGGAUAUAAUAACCCAUAACUUCUUGGAGUAUGGGGGCUUCCCUCCUUCACUCCCAGCAGAUCAAGGCCACCACUUCAACUGACAGACAUGGAAGCAUCGCUGGACCCCGUGGGCGGUGACUAUAUACAUCUGUCCACUCUCAGCUUUUCUUUCCCUUACUCUCCCUUGCUCUUAUCCUGCCUUUCUCUCCCCUAUGCAUUUUCUUCCCCCCCACAAAGGUUAUCUCUGUGUCACAUUGUUGUACAACAGCUGUUGUAUGCUAGCAAACUGCUAGCAUGCCUGUUGAUACAGAAUUGUUAAAAUAAACCUUGCCAGUAUAUGUUUUCAGA